UACGUAGGGGGCUAGCGUUGUCCGGAAUCAUUGGGCGUAAAGCGCGUGUAGGCGGCCCGAUAAGUCCGCUGUGAAAGUCCAGGGCUCAACCCUGGGAUGCCGGUGGAUACUGCCGGGCUCGAGUCCGGAAGAGGCGAGUGGAAUUCCUGGUGUAGCAGUGAAAUGCGUAGAGAUCAUGAGGAAGACCAGUGGCGAAGGCGGGUCUCUGGACAGUUCCUGACACUGAGACACGAAGGCCAGGGGAGCAAACGGG
rnacentral:rRNA from 1 species